rnacentral:tRNA from 1 species
AGGCCCGUAGCUCAGUUGGUUAGAGCGACGGACUCAUAAUCCGUUGGUCCCUGGUUCAAGUCCAGGUGGGUCUG